rnacentral:misc_RNA from 1 species
AGGAUAUAGGACAGGCCAUUCUAGAAAGCUAUUCAAGAAUAAUAGAAAGCUUGGCAUUCACAAUCCUGUCAAAGAUUGAGGAUAUUCUGUAUUCAGACUCCCUCACACAAUCCCCAAAGUCAGAAUCCAAUGGAAGGCCAGAGAACGAGAAACCAGAGGAAGAAACAGACAAGUUCAGCCCUGCAAAGACACCAACAGCAACAUCACUGACACUCUCAGAUUUCAUGGGAUGGAAUGUAGAUGACAAGAAAAAUAAUUUCUGCAAUAUAGAUGAUAAGCCGACGCUGAAACCCAUUGCGACCAAGAGAUUUUCCUACUUGGAGAAGCUUGAGAGUUUGACUUUAUUACGAAGUCCAGCAUCUCGGCAUUAAACAUUAUCAAUGAAUGUAGAAGAAAAUGGGAAAAAAGAAGAAAUAUGUAAAGACAAAAUAGAGGAAGAGAUACGAAAAGACAAACAUAGAGAAAUGUAGUUAGAGAGCUUAAUAUAUCAAAUGUAUAUAACAAACAACCAGGUAGGAUUCUGUGAAGAACUUUCUUGCCUUUUUUUUCAAUCAUUUUUUCUUUACCGAACAUAAAUUCAUCCCAAUAAAUCAAAUAUUUUCAAUGCUUUGAAGAGCUUGUUACCGCAAACUCAUACCAGAGAGUUAACUUUGAAUGGAUUUUCAGGCCAACUCAAUGCACUCUAAUCUCUACUUCCAAUAACCACCAUGCAGCAUUCAAGGAGACAACAAAACAAACUCCCUCUCAAGGCAAUUGCACUAAUGCACACAACAGAGAAUAAAACUACAAAUAAUUCAUAGUUUCAAGAUCUAACGAUACACAAAUGAAGAUAAAAACAAAAACAAAGAAGAACAUACCGGAGGAAUAGAGUACCCCAAGAAUGGAUCUUCAGGAGCUCGAACAACUUUUCCAAAAGCAGAAUCAGAAUCCAUCACUAAGUUGAGCCGCCAGCUUUCAUAUAUAUAGAUAUAAAAAGUGAGAGUCAGUAGACAGUUACAGUUAGAUAGUCAAGGCCGGGCUUGAUAACAGUCAAGGCCCAAGGAUAAUUGUCUUGAUUGUGUUUGUACCACCGUGAGCACUAUUCAACUCAAACCGAAUAAAUCGAAUCGAAUUAUCUUAAUUCGAUAAUUCAGUUUA